rnacentral:tRNA from 2 species
GCCCGGAUGGCGGAAUUGGCAGACGCGCUGGACUCAAAAUCCAGUUUCCUUUAAAGAAGUGUGGGUUCGACCCCCACUCCGGGCACCA